GUAGGUGAACCUGCGGAAGGAUCAUUAUUGAUUUUUAAAGAUGUGCUGGCCUUUAUUGGCAUGUGCACUCUUAAAAAAACCCAAUAUCCACCUGUGCACCCUCUGUAGGCAUUUGCCUAUGCUUUUUUUACACACCAUGAUAUUUGAAUGCCUUUGAUUAACCAAAUUGUAAAACAACUUUCAACAAUGGAUCUCUUGGUUCUCGCAUCGAUGAAGAACGCAGCAUCUGACUGACUAAGAUUCGGCGCAU
rnacentral:misc_RNA from 1 species